rnacentral:rRNA from 1 species
CGGGGUGAGUAACGCGUGGAUAACCUGCCUCACACUGGGGGAUAACAGUUAGAAAUGACUGCUAAUACCGCAUAAGCGCUCAGUACCGCAUGGUACAGUGUGAAAAACUCCGGUGGUGUGAGAUGGAUCCGCGUCUGAUUAGCCAGUUGGCGGGUAACGGCCCACCAAAGCGACGAUCAGUAGCCGACCUGAGAGGGUGACCGGCCACAUUGGGACUGAGACACGGCCCAA